CCUACGGGUGGCAGCAGUGGGGAAUAUUGGGCAAUGGGCGCAAGCCUGACCCAGCAACGCCGCGUGAAGGAAGAAGGCUUUCGGGUUGUAAACUUCUUUUCUCAGGGACGAAGCAAGUGACGGUACCUGAGGAAUAAGCCACGGCUAACUACGUGCCAGCAGCCGCGGUAAUACGUAGGUGGCAAGCGUUAUCCGGAUUUACUGGGUGUAAAGGGCGUGUAGGCGGGACUGCACGUCAGAUGUGAAAACCACGGGCUCAACCUGUGGCCUGCAUUUGAAACUGUAGUUCUUGAGUGCUGGAGAGGCAGACGGAAUUCCUGGUGUAGCGGUGAAAUGCGUAGAUAUUAGGAGGAACACCAGUGGCGAAGGCGGUCUGCUGAACAGCAACUGACGCUGAGGCGCGAAAGCGUGGGGAGCAAACAGGAUUAGAUACCCGAGUAGUC
rnacentral:rRNA from 1 species